rnacentral:rRNA from 1 species
GUGUCAGCCGCCGCGGUAAUACGUAGGUGGCAAGCGUUAUCCGGAAUUAUUGGGCGUAAAGCGCGCGUAGGCGGUUUUUUAAGUCUGAUGUGAAAGCCCACGGCUCAACCGUGGAGGGUCAUUGGAGACUGGAAAACUUGAGUGCAGAAGAGGAAAGUGGAAUUCCAUGUGUAGCGGUGAAAUGCGCAGAGAUAUGGAGGAACACCAGUGGCGAAGGCGACUUUCUGGUCUGUAACUGACGCUGAUGGGCGAAAGCGUGGGGAUCAAACAGGAUUAGAAACCCUCGUAGUCC